UGGAAGUAUCUAAUGGAAAGAGUCGUAAUAAAAGUUGAACAAUAUUUAAAUAAAAAACGUAAUAAUCAAGAUAUUUAUCCAAACAAUACUAACAUUAUUGCAGAUAUCUAUGAAAAUAGUACAGGUACAAAAGAGCAUAGUUAUGAAGAUACAGUAAGACUGAUGAAUCAUCUAAAACAGUUUUUAAUUCAAGAUAUAGAACAAGCAAUAGACAAAAGAUUAUACGAGAUUUUUCUUGCGUCUCGCAAGAAAAACUAAUUUAUUCCUCGCUAUAACUGGCUACACUUUUUUCUUCACGAUUAAAAAUUAUUUGACAUUAUAAUACCUCUUGAUUAGAAAUUGUAAAUUAAGAAAAGAUGCGGGGAGUGCUACCUGAUUUUUAUAGAAAAUUCAAAUAUAGAGUGCAGUGUACUGACUAUUAAAAUUAAGCGCAUUAUAUAUGUACUAACAUAAGCUGCACCAUACCUUUAAUUGAGUAUAAAUUAACCAAAAACCCGAAGGGUUGAAGAUAGAUUUUUUGAGCUCUAGAAAUACCCUCUUCUUUUAGAUUAAUAAUGCCGCAUAAAUUUGUCAAGUAACUUUAUAACCGUAGUACACUUUACGAUGUCAGCAUUGGUAGAAAAAAGUAGUAUUUUAUAGUGGAAGUAGCUAUAACUAAGGAAUAUAACUCUUGAGCAGCUUGAUUUGUGAUGGUAAUUUUGUUGUCAACAUCUCCUAAAAUAUAUUCACGUUUUGCAUGCAAAGAAAGUACAGCAGUUUAUUUAUUUUUAAUAAAAUGUUAUUAAUUUUAAUUAUAUAUCCUAGUUCAGGAGGUAUUAUGCUUUAUGGAGACUGAAAAAUACUAAACAUCGCUCAAUUAAAAGCUGCAGCAUUAAUGCUAUACUAUUCAAUAGUGUUGCUCAAUUAAGAGUUACCCUAGAAGAUAACUUGAUCUAUCAAAUAAAAGAGCAUUAGCAUCAAGCAAUCGAGAUACAUAUGAAGAAUGGAACGCAUGUGGUUUUAAUGUUAAUUGUAUGUUUCUACUAAAUGUAGGUUAUGAGUGCGUAUCAUUGCCUAUUGCUGCUUGUUCUAACCCAGGGGACAUAGCAAGCGUCCUCUUAAAAAAGGUUUAGAAAUUGACGCUAGUGAUGAUUAUGGAAAAACUCCUUUGUAUCUGACUAUUAUAAUGAUCAUAUAGAUAUAGUAUAUAUUUUACUACAAGAAAAGGCAAAUGUUAAUGCUAUAAGUCACGAUGCCACAAUGCCCUUACAUUGGGCUGUUGGAAUGGUUAUAUAGUAAAUACCUUAUUAGCAAGAGGGGCAAAGCUUAGUGCUAUAGGUCAAGAUGGAGCAGUUCCCUUACAUCUGGCUGCUAAAAAUGCAGUAAAUACUUUGUUGAGAAAAGGUGCGAAUCCUUUAUUUAAGGUUGUUCACAAACCAUUAAUCAAGUAUAUUUCCCUUUUAGUACAGCCCUACUUAUGGCCAAAUAUAUUAAAUAUUCAGUAGAUGUUAUAAGUAAAUCACAUUCUUUCGAUAGCUUCCUAUCCCUAUUGAUCCAAUCAAAAGUCUUCUACAAGCCCCCCCCUUGGGCUGCACUUUAAAUGUCCUGGGUCUCGUUGGGCUAAUAAUUCCGGUGGAGUGUCUUGAUGCACCCAAAAAUCUUCACAGAUACCUCUUACAAUUUCAAUUUUUAUUCCAUAUUCUUUUAAAUCUUUUCCUU